CUGGACGCAUGCCUGGGGGUCUCCCUAGGGGGUUGAUGGUUUUGGCCUUCAGGCAGAAAGAACCUGGUGGCAAAGUUCCAGAGGUUAGCGGAGCCUGGCAUGGAGGCGGUGGUCAAGGUGAAGCCCCACGACAAGGAUGCCAAAAUGAAAUACCAGGAGUGCAACAAGAUCGUGAAGCAGAAGGCCUUUGAGCGGGCCAUCGCGGGCGACGAGCACAAGCGCUCCGUGGUGGAUUCGCUGGACAUCGAGAACAUGACCAUCGAGGGUGAGUACAGCGGACCCAAGCUUGAGGACGACAAAGUGACAAUCACCUUCAUGAAGGGGCUCAUGCAGUGGUACAAGGACCAGAAGAAACUGCACCAGAAAUGCGCCUACCAGGAUUUCAGACAAAAAUCAGGAAUCAUCACCAGCCAAGACUGUGUUCGGACCACGUGACGUCUUCCAGGCACCAGGAAGAAAUACGACCAACAUCCGUAACAAAUGAGAGAAACUUCACCUGACUGUGUUUUGUGCAUUUGGUUUAUGAGUCAUUUUAAAAACGUGUACUUUUACUGCUGCGUUCAGGUUUUCAGCCAUAGAAUAUUCUAGAAAAAAAUAGUGAUAACAUUUAUUUCACAGCUAUAACCCUGAAUGUGUAGCUGUGUUUCUAAAAAAAACACUUUUUUACAAUUGUAGAAUAUGUAACAUGCUUCCAGAAACGUGCCCUAAACACAAAUAUAUAAUUUGGCAAAUAA